rnacentral:snRNA from 1 species
GCCAAGCGUUCAUAGCGACGUUGCUUU